rnacentral:rRNA from 1 species
GAUGAACGCUGGCGGCGUGCCUAAUACAUGCAAGUCGAGCGAACAGAUAAGGAGCUUGCUCCUUUGACGUUAGCGGCGGACGGGUGAGUAACACGUGGGUAACCUACCUAUAAGACUGGAAUAACUCCGGGAAACCGGGGCUAAUGCCGGAUAACAUUUAGAACCGCAUGGUUCUAAAGUGAAAGAUGGUUUUGCUAUCACUUAUAGAUGGACCCGCGCCGUAUUAGCUAGUUGGUAAGGUAACGGCUUACCAAGGCAACGAUACGUAGCCGACCUGAGAGGGUGCUCGGCCACACGGGAACUGAGACACGGUCCAGACUCCUACGGGAGGCAGCAGUAGGGAAUCUUCCGCAAGGGGCGAAAGCCUGACGAGGCAACGCCGCGUGAGGGAUGAAGGUCUUCGGUUCGUAAACCUCUGUUAUUAGGGAAGAACAAAUGUGUAAGUAACUGUGCACGUCUUGACGGUACCUAAUCAGAAAGCCACGGCUAACUACGU